UACGGAGGGUGCAAGCGUUAUCCGGAUUCACUGGGUUUAAAGGGUGCGUAGGCGGGUAUGUAAGUCAGUGGUGAAAUCUCCAAGCUUAACUUGGAAACUGCCGUUGAUACUAUAUAUCUUGAAUAACCUGGAGGUAGGCGGAAUAUGUCAUGUAGCGGUGAAAUGCUUAGAUAUGACCUAGAACACCAAUUGCGAAGGCAGCUUACUACAUGUUUAUUGACGCUGAGGCACGAAAGCGUGGGGAUCAAACAGG
rnacentral:rRNA from 1 species